rnacentral:rRNA from 1 species
UACGUAGGGGGCAAGCGUUGUCCGGAUUUAUUGGGCGUAAAGAGCGUGUAGGCGGUUAGGUAGGUCCGUUGUGAAAACUCGAGGCUCAACCUCGAGACGCCGAUGGAAACCCCCUAACUAGAGUCCGGAAGAGGAGAGUGGAAUUCCUGGUGUAGCGGUGAAAUGCGCAGAUAUCAGGAAGAACACCCGUGGCUAAGGCGGCUCGUCGUAGUACGGUACUGACGCUGAGACGCGAAAGCGUGGGGAGCGAACAGG